rnacentral:rRNA from 1 species
UACGAAGGGUGCAAACGUUGCUCGGAAUCAUUGGGCGUAAAGCGCACGUAGGCGGCUUGCCAAGUCGGACGUGAAAUCUCUCAGCUCAACUGAGGACGUGCAUCCGAAACUGGCGAGCUUGAGUACUGAAGAGGAUCGCGGAAUUCCCGGUGUAGAGGUGAAAUUCGUAGAUAUCGGGAGGAACACCAGUGGCGAAGGCGGCGAUCUGGGCAGAUACUGACGCUGAGGUGCGAAAGCGUGGGGAGCAAACAGG